CCUACGGGGUGCAGCAGUGGGGGAUAUUGGACAAUGGGGGAAACCCUGAUCCAGCGACGCCGCGUGAGUGAAGAAGUAUUUCGGUAUGUAAAGCUCUAUCAGCAGGGAAGAAAGAAAUGACGGUACCUGAGUAAGAAGCCCCGGCUAACUACGUGCCAGCAGCCGCGGUAAUUCGUAGGGGGCAAGCGUUAUCCGGAAUUACUGGGUGUAAAGGGAGCGUAGACGGUAAUGCAAGUCUGGAGUGAAAGGCGGGGGCCCAACCCCCGGACUGCUCUGGAAACUGUGUAACUGGAGUGCAGGAGAGGCAGGCGGAAUUCCUGGUGUAGCGGUGAAAUGCGUAGAUAUUAGGAGGAACACCAGUGGCGAAGGCGGCCUGCUGGACUGUAACUGACGUUGAGGCUCGAAAGCGUGGGGAGCAAACAGGAUUAGAUACCCCUGUAGUC
rnacentral:rRNA from 1 species